rnacentral:rRNA from 1 species
CCUACGGGUGGCAGCAGUGAGGAAUAUUGGUCAAUGGACGUAAGCCUGAACCAGCCAAGUCGCGUGAGGGAUGAAGGUUCUAUGGAUCGUAAACCUCUUUUAUAAGGGAGUAAAGUGUGGGACGUGUCCUGCUUUGUAUGUACCUUAUGAAUAAGGAUCGGCUAACUCCGUGACAGCAGCCGCGGUAAUACGGAGGUUCCGAGCUUUAUCCGGAUUUAUUGGGUUUAAAGGGUGCGUAGGCGGCCUUUUAAGUCAGCGGUGAAAGUCUUCGGCUCAACCAUAGAAUUGCCUUUGAAACUGGGGGGCUUGAGUAUGUUUGAGGAAGGCGGAAUGCGUGGUGUAGCGGUGGAAUGCUUAGAUAUAACGAAGAACCCCGAUUGCGAAGGCAGCCUGCCAGGCCAUGACUGACGCUGAUGCACGAAAGCGUGGGUAGCAAACAGGAUUAGAUACCCUGGUAGUC